GUUGGUUAAAAUCCUUCCUUUACUA
rnacentral:tRNA from 3 species